rnacentral:rRNA from 1 species
GACGAACGCUGGCGGCGUGCCUAAUACAUGCAAGUAGAACGCUGAAGGAGGAGCUUGCUCUUCUGGAUGAGUUGCGAACGGGUGAGUAACGCGUAGGUAACCUGCCUGGUAGCGGGGGAUAACUAUUGGAAACGAUAGCUAAUACCGCAUAAUAGUAGAUGUUGCAUGAUAUUUACUUAAAAGGUGCAAUUGCACCACUACCAGAUGGACCUGCGUUGUAUUAGCUAGUUGGUGGGGUAACGGCUCACCAAGGCGACGAUACAUAGCCGACCUGAGAGGGUGAUCGGCCACACUGGGACUGAGACACGGCCCAGACUCCUACGGGAGGCAGCAGUAGGGAAUCUUCGGCAAUGGACGAAAGUCUGACCGAGCAACGCCGCGUGAGUGAAGAAGGUUUUCGGAUCGUAAAGCUCCGUUGUAAGAGAAGAACGAGUGUGAGAGUGGAAAGUUCACACUGUGACGGUAUCUUACCAGAAAGGGACGGCUAACUACGUG